rnacentral:rRNA from 1 species
GACGAACGCUGGCGGCGUGCUUAACACAUGCAAGUCGAACGGAAAGGCCCUGCUUUUGUGGGGUGCUCGAGUGGCGAACGGGUGAGUAACACGUGAGUAACCUGCCCUUGACUUUGGGAUAACUUCAGGAAACUGGGGCUGAUACCGGAUAGGAGCUCCUGCUGCAUGGUGGGGGUUGGAAAGUUUCGGCGGUUGGGGAUGGACUCGCGGCUUAUCAGCUUGUUGGUGGGGUAGUGGCUUACCAAGGCUUUGACGGGUAGCCGGCCUGAGAGGGUGACCGGCCACAUUGGGACUGAGAUACGGCCCAGACUCCUACGGGAGGCAGCAGUGGGGAAUAUUGCACAAUGGGCGGAAGCCUGAUGCAGCAACGCCGCGUGCGGGAUGACGGCCUUCGGGUUGUAAACCGCUUUCGCCUGUGACGAAGCGUGAGUGACGGUAAUGGGUAAAGAAGCACCGGCUAACUACGUG